rnacentral:rRNA from 1 species
UACGGAGGGAGCUAGCGUUGUUCGGAAUUACUGGGCGUAAAGCGUGCGUAGGCGGCUUUGUAAGUUAGAGGUGAAAGCCCGGAGCUCAACUCCGGAAUUGCCUUUAAGACUGCAUCGCUUGAAUCCGGGAGAGGUGAGUGGAAUUCCGAGUGUAGAGGUGAAAUUCGUAGAUAUUCGGAAGAACACCAGUGGCGAAGGCGGCUCACUGGACCGGCAUUGACGCUGAGGUACGAAAGCGUGGGGAGCAAACAGG